rnacentral:misc_RNA from 1 species
UUCGCGGUCUUUGGGGAGUAGCUUGCUGAGUCAAUCUCGUGAUUCAGUUCGUUCGUCAACAUAAUCGCUGUCAAAUAGCGUGGCGUUCGAGACUUGGUUUCCAUCAAGUUUAGCAAGACCUUAGACAAACAG